GUCUACAGCCAUGCCAUCCAGAACAUAUCCAAUCUCAUCUGAUCUCAGAAGUUGUGCAGGGUUGGGCCUGGUUAGUGCUUGGAUGGGAGACCACCUAGGAAAACCAGGUGCUGUAGACA
rnacentral:rRNA from 1 species